AUACGUAGGUGACAAGCGUUAUCCGGAUUUACUGGGCGUAAAGGGCGUGUAGGCGGUCUUGCAAGUCAGAAGUGAAAUUCCUGAGCUCAACUCGGGCGCUGCUUCUGAAACUGCAGGACUUGAGUGCUGGAGGGGAUAGCGGAAUUCCUAGUGGAGCGGUAAAAUGCGCAGAUAUUAGGAAGAACACCGGUGGCGAAGGCGGCUAUCUGGACAGUAACUGACGCUGAGGCGCGAAAGCGUGGGGAGCAAACAGGAUUAGAUCCCCUGGUAGUCCACGCCGUAAACGAUGAAUACUAGGUGUAGGGGGUAUCGACUCCCUUUGUGCCGCAGUUAACACAAUAAGUAUUCCGCCUGGGGAGUACGGCCGCAAGGUUGAAACUCAAAUGAAUUGACGGGG
rnacentral:rRNA from 1 species